rnacentral:sRNA from 1 species
AUUUCAAAUUCAAGAGCUAAAGACAGCAGGUGCUAAUAGCUUAAUUUUCUGCCGAGGUUCAAGAAUUAAUUAUUCAAAGAUAACAAUAGGGAGUUUUAUUAAAGACCCUAAUUUAAUUGCUUGAUUUGGAUUUGAUAAUUCUUAGCCCUGGCAGAUAGCUAAAUCUGCUAGGGUUUUUGAUUUG